AGAGUUUGAUCCUGACUCAGAAUCAACGCUGGCGGCGUGCCUAACACAUGCAAGUCGCACGAGAAAGGGGAGCAAUCCCUGAGUAUAGUGGCGCACGGGUGAGUAACACGUGACUAACCUACCCUCGAGUGGGGAAUAACCUAGGGAAACCUGGGCUAAUACCGCAUAACACUUACGAGUCAAAGCAGCAAUGCGCUUGGGGAGGGGGUCGCGGCCGAUUAGCUAGUUGGCGGGGUAAUGGCCCACCAAGGCAAUGAUCGGUAUCCGGCCUGAGAGGGCGCACGGACACACUGGAACUGAAACACGGUCCAGACUCCUACGGGAGGCAGCAGUGGGGAAUUUUGCGCAAUGGGGGAAACCCUGACGCAGCAACGCCGCGUGGAGGAUGAAGUCUCUUGGGACGUAAACUCCUUUCGAUCGGGAAGAUAAUGACGGUACCGAUAGAAGAAGCCCCGGCUAACUUCGUGCCAGCAGCCGCGGUAAUACGAGGGGGGCAAGCGUUGUUCGGAAUUAUUGGGCGUAAAGGGUGCGUACGCGGUCUGGUAAGUCUUGUGUGAAAUCUUCAGGCUCAACCUGAAGUCUGCAUG
rnacentral:rRNA from 1 species